GCUUGAGUGGUGUAGUGGUAACAUGGAGUCUUCCCAGGAAUGUUGGCUUCGCCCGGGGUUCGAUUCCCCGUUCAAGCA